rnacentral:lncRNA from 1 species
CACCUCCGAGCCCAGCGGGAACGCCACCACCACUGCCACUGCCACCGCCACCGCCGCCUCGGCCGCCCCGAGCCAACAACCGCCCAGCUGCCCAGCCGCUUCCCACUGUCGCCGAGGGCCACGCCCAUUGGCCAGCCGCGGGGCCCUGACGGAAGCCCAUUGGACCGCGGCGCUGCCGUUUCCUCGGGCCCGCCUCCUCACCCUCCAUUGGCUCACAGCUCAGGGGGCGUGUCCCGAGGGUCGUUUUCCCCCGUCCCCCCCCCCCCACACACACACCUCUGGAAGCGGUGGCAUCUGCAUUGAUUGCCAGGAUGACGCUGGGCAAACGUCCGGAUGAGCCUAAGAUGACGGUGGGUGGCGUUUGCGCUCUGUCAUGGGCCGUUAAUACCCACUCCUUGUCAUCCUUGUCAUGAACGCUUCCUCCUGCCAUACCUCUUCGAGGUGUCAGAGAUUCUGAUGUGCCAGCCAGGGGCUCCUUGCGGGGCUGGGGGCCUGGUGGCUUCUCCGAGCGCCUCGUACCUCAUGGAUCCGAAAGGGGGGCAAAUCCUAAGUCUAAGCUGGCGUGUAAACUGCAAACAACACACAGCUGUGGGUCCGGAGAGACGUCUCCACGGCUAAGAACGCUUGCUACUCUUGGAGAGUUUGGGGCUCAGCACCCACAACAGGUGUUUCAGAACCGCCUCUAAGUCCAGCUGUAAAUCAGGAUAUCAAGAGAUUCAUCAUCGUCGUCGUCGUCGUCGUCAUCUCAACAAAAGCAGAGCACAGAGGCCCAUGCUUUUAAUCCCAACGUUUUGGCCUCAACUGCCUAUGUAGCAAGGAUCACCUUAGAGUCAAUCAAUAUCCUCCUGCCUCCAUCCCCGCCAGUAGUUUUGCAGGCUUAUGCUACCCAGCUAAUUGCCACGUGCUUUUUAUUUCCCUCAAUAUUUGAGGGAACUGCGGGCUCACAGCUGGCUCUGCGGCUGCUGCGGGUGCCCGUGUUUCUGUUGUGUUUGGGGCUUUGGUUGUUUUUAACUAGCAAACUGUUUCUGAACGCGAUGGCAUCGUUUAACGUUCCCACUGGGAGUGGAGGAAAGUUCCAGAUGCCCCCACGUGUUCCCAGGGUGAUAUAAAUACAUUCUGAAGAAAUAAACAAGAGAAUGGCGGUCAUCGUCGUUGUGUCUCCUGGAAACAACUCACAGUCCUCGAUGUGAAAGUGACUCAGAGACUCCUCUGGAGUUUACUGGGGGAGGAAAGGACAACUCAGGAGGAGGGCAAACAGUGAGGAAAUGCUGAGUUACCGCAGCUUCCGCCUCUGCCUUCGCCUUGGCUUAAAAUUUUGGGUUUGUUAAAAAAAAAAAAUUAAAGAUUUUGGCUAGGUGUGGUGGCACACAGCCUUUGCACCAACACCACCACCCUGCCCCCAGCUCUGGAGAGGCAGAGGCAAGUGGAUCUCUGUGAGUUUGAGGCCACCCUGGUCUACAGAGGGAGUUCCAGGACAGCCAGGGCUACACAGAGAAACCCCUGUCUCAAAUAUUUUAUACACCAUGUGUGAAAACGUCAUGAUGAAGCCCAUGCUACUACUAAAAACACUUAAAAUGAAU